rnacentral:rRNA from 1 species
GUCCGAGUUGUAAUUUGAAGAAGGUAACUUUGGAGUUGGCUCUUGUCUAUGUUCCUUGGAACAGGACGUCACAGAGGGUGAGAAUCCCGUGCGAUGAGAUGUCCAACUCUAUGUAAAGUGCUUUCGAAGAGUCGAGUUGUUUGGGAAUGCAGCUCUAAGUGGGUGGUAAAUUCCAUCUAAAGCUAAAUAUUGGCGAGAGACCGAUAGCGAACAAGUACAGUGAUGGAAAGAUGAAAAGAACUUUGAAAAGAGAGUGAAAAAGUACGUGAAAUUGUUGAAAGGGAAGGGUUUGAGAUCAGACUUGGUAUUUUGUAUGUCUUGCUUUCGGGUGGGGCCUCUGCAGUUUACUGGGCCAGCAUCGGUUUGGACGGUAGGAUAAUGACAUUGGAAUGUGGCACUACUUCGGUGGUGUGUUAUAGACUUUGUUGAUACUG